GCCUGGCUGGCUCAGUCGGUGGAGCAUGUGACUCUUGAUCUCGGGGUUGUGAGUUCGAGCCCCAUGUUGGGUG
rnacentral:tRNA from 1 species